GUGUGGGCAGGAACAGUCCAGGGUCUGUCAGUCAAGGUCAGUACUAACAGUGUUAGGAACUGGGUACAACUUGAGGGAGCUUGCAGCAGGUCAGAUUCUCCAUGAAGCAAAAACUGAAGAGGAAAUUAGCACUCAGGAUGUUUAAGGAACACUCCUGGGUUCAAACCUGCUGAAGGAGGAGAAAGAAGUAGGAGUUGAUGAAGGAAAAAGUAAACUGUGAUGCAAAACUAAGGGUACCCUUGUUACACCCUUAGGGAGCUCUGGAGCUAGAAUGGCUUUUCAGAGCUGUCCUAAGUUGGGCCGAGAUAACCAGGCCUUUAUACUCCUUCCUAUAUGAAUCAGCCGUUGGAUGUAGAGUCCUUAGGAAGGAACACAACAUUGGCUGUGUACCUCUCCGUAUAUGAAGCAAUCCCUGAAGAGGCUUACAGCUGAAGGCUGUCUGCCGAGUACACUCCCAGGAACUGGGGCAAUAUGUCGUCUUCAAAGGAGAAUCUGGAUGGUGCAUCAUUGUGUCCACCACAGAUCUCAAGAUCACCAAAUCCGGACUGGCAAUGCAUAAGAGGCAUGAAGUUCUGACAUCCUAAACUCAAAUGGCAGGGAAAAAAAAACACUGCCAUCUAUUCUGACCUCUGAAGUCACCAUGCCCAUUAACUGAGGAUGAAGAAGACAGAAGGAAUACUGAAUGUCUGAAGAGAGAGAAAACGUUAUAAAAUUAUCCUUUCAAAAGAUGGAAGAAUAAAUUCACUUGGCAAAUGUGAUAUGGACUCACCUGAGGUUUGAAGUCAUCCAAAAAGAAACCAAAAAUCAUGGUUUUGAGAUUUUGUCCAAAUUCCUUCAUUAUCUCAGGUACAAAUGAAAAAAAAUUAUUCUAAUGUAGUUGGGUUUAAUGAGAGUUGAGAUUUUUCUAAGAAGUAAGGUAUAGGGGAAAGAAGGUAAGGUAGUUAAAGGUACCUAAGAAAUUAUUAUAAAAAUAAAUCAUGAACUGUAAGUUGAUAAGGAGGGAAAUGGGCAUAUAAGGGGGAUCAGGGGCAUUGAAAGGAUAUUAGGAUCAAUGGUUUGACUUUCUAAUGGUAUUGAAGAAUUAUAAAAGCAGGAAUAUGGAAGGGAUGGACUGAAAAGAAAGGAGAUGAUACAAGUAUUAUUGUAUGUUUUCACAUUUUAUCAUUUCUGAAAAAGGAAAGAUAAUGGCAACUUAAUUUAGUAAAAUAUGGUAAUAAUUGAUAAGGUCUAGAAUAUGAUAAUAAAUAGUGUUGCUGAGGUGGGUGAAAAUCAACAAACUGAAUGAAGAUCAACAUUCAUUAAAACAUUGAAUGUGACAUUAUCAAAUGACAGGAGUAGUGAUAAGAACAUCGGAAUACAGGUGUUUUCUAAAGUGAUUUCUAACUCUCAUAUGCUAUGAUUCUAUUAUUAAAACAAGUACAGGCAAACUUUUUACUUGAUUUACUUUCUAUAUACAAUGAGACUAAAAGAUAUCCAUCAACUGACCAGGGUCUACAGGGUAUAUUAUAAGUUGAAUUGAAAUGUCACGGGGCUGUCCUAAGUUCAAAUCAAGGUCAAAGAGAAAGACAGACCUUUACUUUUGGAUCUGUCACAAUAACAAGUAAGUGCUAUGAACUACCUGCAAAAAAGAUAAGAUGCUACCUGUGUAGAUGACAUGGUGAUGAGUGACAAGUCGUGGAUACUGUUCCAUAGUUUCAUUCUUAAUCUAAAUCACUUAGACAAGAAUCAUUAACUCCUUUGAUCAGAAGUUUUUCCUGCCCAUACAAUUAUAUACAAUACACAAUCACUCUAGGAGGGCAUAGUGUCAUGAAGGAGAAAACGAUAGACUUGUUUUUCCAUACUCUGUAGGUACAUAGUUAAGUAUUAAUUCCAUAAAGGUUUGAUGAUGAUGACCGGUGGUGGUGAUGAUGAUGAUGGU
rnacentral:lncRNA from 1 species